rnacentral:rRNA from 1 species
CCUACGGGAGGCUGCAGUGGGGAAUAUUGGACAAUGGGGGGAACCCUGAUCCAGCCAUGCCGCGUGUGUGAAGAAGGCCCUCGGGUUGUAAAGCACUUUCAGUGAGGAAGAACGCCUGGUGGUUAAUACCCAUCAGGAAAGACAUCACUCACAGAAGAAGCACCGGCUAACUCCGUGCCAGCAGCCGCGGUAAUACGGAGGGUGCGAGCGUUAAUCGGAAUUACUGGGCGUAAAGCGCGCGUAGGUGGCUUGAUAAGCCGGUUGUGAAAGCCCCGGGCUCAACCUGGGAACGGCAUCCGGAACUGUCAAGCUAGAGUGCAGGAGAGGAAGGUAGAAUUCCCGGUGUAGCGGUGAAAUGCGUAGAGAUCGGGAGGAAUACCAGUGGCGAAGGCGGCCUUCUGGACUGACACUGAUACUGAGGUGCGAAAGCGUGGGUAGCAAACAGGAUUAGAUACCCUGGUAGUC